AAACCAUCUUCAUGGGCUCAUUGUGAUCAGUUUCAGUAAAGAUGGUGUCAGGACCUGAAACACUUCCUGAGAUGUCAUCGAUCAGCUCCAGUCCAGAUGAUCCAGUGACCCGGAUUCUCCUGAUGGACAGAAACGCUUCUGGGAAAACCUCAUCAGGAUUAACUUUACUGGGAGAAAAUGGAUUUAUAAUGAAUCUGAAGUUUGUGAGGAGGAAAUGUUGGUUGAUGACAAAUUGGACUGAUCCUUCUAAAUGUGCAUAUACUCGUCUCCGGGACCGAGGAAGAAGAAACUUAUAAGUGUUCCUCACACUUUGAAAAAACCUGCUGAUCUGAACGGGACUGAGUGACGGAGGAACAGCAAAUCACACGAGAGAAUAUUCAAAAUAAUAAUGGUCUUACAGCAGAGGCUGCUGCCGCCCGGGCGCAUGCGCGUGGAGUCUUUAAAAACCGUGUGCCGCGUUUCCUUUGUUGGUUUCAGAAGUGGGCCAUACGUGCGCAACACAGAGCUGCGACAGGAGACCUGCACUUACACUGACCAGAGGAGGCGAAUUAAGGUUCUUCAUUUGAGUGCAAACAUGUACAACAUCACAGUGUCAUGUGCAGAGAUUCAGACUCCAGUGGGGUUUGUGUAUGUGAUUCUGUCUGUUAUAAUGAAUCACAUCAAUAAUCCUGACUGUGAUCAGAGCUGGUAUCUACAGGACGGGCGUCUGAUAGCAGAUCCAUCAGAUCCUCAAACACUGAUUGAUCCUGUGAUUUCUGUCUCGUCUGAUCGUCUCGUCACGUCUCGCUGUGUGAAUCUGACUCAUGAGAUCAUCUGUCAUUCUGUUGGAUUAAAAUAUCAGACUGCCUUCAGAGUGUUUAAUGACACAGACUCCUUCAGCGGAUCGACUCAAACUCCAGAAUCACAUCAGUUGUGGUGGAUUUCUGCUCUGAUCUUCAUUGUUCUUCUGCUCUUGAUCUGUUUCUUGCUGCGGAAAAAGAUCUUCAGAUGUUUUCAGCGCAGUGAUUCAGAAAACAGAGAUCCUGAAUCUGGUGUCCAGAUGAAGCUCAGAUCAGAUGAAUCUGAUUCACUGAAUCAACCUGAAUCUGAGCAGAUCAACGGCUCCAUGUUUAGAGAAUGA
ensembl:lncRNA